rnacentral:rRNA from 1 species
GGGCAAGCGUUAUCCGGAUUUACUGGGUGUAGAGGGAGCGUAGACGGCAUGGCAAGCCAGCUGUGAAAGCCCGGGGCGCAACCACGGGACGGCAUUUGGAACUGUCAGGCUAGAGUGUCGGAGAGGUAAGCGGAAUUCCUAGUGUAGCGGUGAAAUGCGUAGAUAUUAGGAGGAGCACCAGUGGCGAAGGCGGCUUACUGGACGAUGACUGACGUUGAGGCUCGAAAGCGUGGGGAGCAAACA